rnacentral:rRNA from 1 species
AUUGAACGCUGGCGGCAGGCCUAACACAUGCAAGUCGAACGAGCGGCGGACGGGUGAGUAAUGUAUGGGAAUCUGCCUUAUCGAUGGGGAUAACUACUGGAACCGGUGGAUAAUACCUCCUACUAUCGGCUGAUCCCCUAUGGGAUUAGCUAGUAGGUGGGGGAAAGGCUCACCUAGGCGACGAUCGGUAGCUGGUCUGAGAGGCUGAUCAGCCACACGGGGACUGAGACACGGCCAAGAAUCCGACGGGAGGCAGCAGUGGGGAAUAUUGCACAAUGGGCGCAAGCCUGAUGCAGCCAGGCCGCGUGUAUGAAGAAGGCCUUAGGGUUGUAAAGUACUUUCAGCGGGGAGGCGUUACUCGCAGAAGAAGCACCGGCUAACUCCGUGCCAGCAGCCGCGGUAAUUC